CUUUACUGUAGCUUUGCAUUGGACUGUGAUCCGGUUUGUGUAGGAUAGCUGGGAGGCUUUGAAGUGGUGACGCUAGUUGCCAUGGAGCCGACCUUGAAAUACCAGCCUGAUCUGAUUGCGGUUCUAACCUACACCCAUGAAUCUGGGUGGGGGACCGUGCAUGGUAGGCAGUUUGACUGGGGCGGUCUCCUCCUAAAGAGUAACGGAGGAGUACGAAGGUACGCUAGGCUCGGUCGGAAAUCGAGCUGAUAGUGCAAUGGCAAAAGCGUGCUUAACUGCGAGACCCACAAGUCGAGCAGGUGCGAAAGCAGGUCAUAGUGAUCCGGUGGUUCUGUAUGGAAGGGCCAUCGCUCAACGGAUAAAAGGUA
rnacentral:rRNA from 1 species